rnacentral:rRNA from 1 species
UACGUAGGGUGCAAGCGUUGUCCGGAAUUAUUGGGCGUAAAGAGCUCGUAGGCGGUUUGUCGCGUCUGCUGUGAAAACUCGGGCUUAACCCCGGGCCUGCAGUGGGUACGGGCAGACUAGAGUGCGGUAGGGGAGACUGGAAUUCCUGGUGUAGCGGUGAAAUGCGCAGAUAUCAGGAGGAACACCGGUGGCGAAGGCGGGUCUCUGGGCCGUAACUGACGCUGAGGAGCGAAAGCGUGGGGAGCGAACAGG